ACUGUUCUCAAUUUACUACAAAUUGGCUUUUUGAAAUGUAAUAUAGAAUUAACAAUUCGCUAAUUUAACACAAACGUAUAUUGCUAAGACAUAACAGUAGUCUGCUUCAUGUUGCCGGUAGCUGCGGGUUAAGACCAGUAAGCUCAGACUGGGGGAGGUGCUCCCCCUACUGGUCUGAUACAGAACUGCGUCAUAUAGCGCGGAGCUCGCAUUAGGCGCCGCUUUUUAGUUUGAAUAACGUUCCCGUAAAAUCAGCCUGGGAGCAGGCGAUCUCGUCCCGGCGUGUUUCAGCUAACUGUUACCCCCGCACGGAGCGGCUGUAGCGGCAGCAGCAGCACCGCAGCGGCGACGGUAGUGCGCUGUGAGGCGGUUUCCGGUGUCCGUCCGUCAGCAGGAGGAUGGCGUCCGGCUUCAACCGCAUCCCCUCCACCGCCGGUCCUCCGAGCACCAAAUACAGCGAAGAUUGUCGCGCCCGCGCGAGAGACGCCAGUGAAAACCGUCAAUAAGCAGCUCGUGUUUUCUCAGUUGUAUCAAAGGACUUGUGUAAACAGAUAUACAGCACUGACCUGCUCAAGGCGUGCUCAUUGCCUUUUCUCAAACUACAACUUCCCUCUAAGUUCGGCACUUAAACGACUUUCACCUACUGAGCACUGAAUUCCUGAAAGCAAAGAGGAAGGAUGACAGAGGCGUGGCAGCAGCAGCAGCAACAUGCAGUGGCCCCACCCUCUGUUGUGCACACACUCCCUCAGGCAACUGACAACCCGCUGGGCUGCACUGUGUAUGGAGUCGUCCUGCAGCCAGACACCACCCUGCAGCAGCCGCAGCAUGGCCAGCAGCACGCAGUCCAAGCCCAGCAGGCGUCCCUACAGGUAGGAGGCGAGAGAGGCCACAAGUGUGGAGCCUGUGGUCAUGACAUAUCUCACUUGGCCAACCCUCAUGAGCAUCAGUGCAUGGUGAACCAAGACAGAUCCUUCCAGUGCACACAGUGCAUGAAGAUCUUCAGUCAAGCGACAGACCUGCUGGAGCAUCAGUGUGUGCAGGUGGAGCAGAAGCCUUUUGUGUGUGGUGUGUGUAAGAUGGGCUUCUCGCUACUCACCUCCUUGGCUCAGCAUCACAACUCGCACGGCAACGGAAACAACCCGAUGAAAUGCUCCAUCUGUGAGAAAACAUACCGACCCGGUUCUGGAAACGCCACCCCGACCUCGUCUGCUGCCAAUCCCCAGCAGCCCUCCGCUGGUGAGACAUCAGGCGGCGGUGCAGCAAUCAGUGCCUCGUCUCCUCCUGCGUUUGAGGCCUCUGCACCAGAUAGGCCGUACAAGUGCUCAGUGUGCCAUAAGUCCUUCAGGCAUUUGUCAGAGCUGACCCGCCAUGAGAGAGUGCACACUGGUGAAAAGCCAUACAAAUGUGACACGUGCGAUAAAAGCUUCAGCCAGUCUUCACAUCUGGCGCACCACCAGCGCACGCACAGCUCCGAGCGGCCGUAUAAAUGUGCCGUAUGCGAGAAGAGCUUUAAGCACCGCUCUCACCUUGUGCGCCACAUGUACGCACAUUCAGGCGAGCACCUCUUCAAGUGCAAUUUGUGUGAGAUGCACUUCAAGGAGUCGUCGGAGCUCCUGCACCAUCAAUGUCAGCCUGAAGGGGAGAGACCUUUCCGGUGCGGCUCGUGUGGGAAGAGCUUCAAGCGCCCAUCUGACCUUCGGCAGCACGAACGCACGCAUUCCGAGGAGCGCCCGUUUCAGUGCGAGGAGUGCCAGAUGAGCUUCAAACAACAAUAUGCUCUUGUACGUCACCGCCGCACUCACAAAAAUCCAGCAGAUCGUCCUUUCAAAUGUAACCUCUGUGAUAAGGGGUUCCUUCAGCCAUCGCACCUGCUUUACCACCAGCAGGUUCAUGGCAUGGAAAGUCUGUUCAAAUGUGCAUCCUGUCAGAAGUCUUUCAGCCAGUCAGGGGAACUGUUGAGGCACAAAUGUGGUGGUGAAGUAGAGAAGCCCUACAAGUGUGACGUGUGUGGCAAAGGUUACAAAAAGAAUUCGACGCUGCAACGUCACCAGAACUCUCACUGCACAGAGAAGCCACUGAAAUGCUCCCUGUGUGACAAGCGCUUUGUGUCGUCUUCGGAGUUUGUUCAGCACCGCUGUGACCCGACUCGGGAGAAGCCGCUGAAAUGCCCCGACUGUGAGAAGCGCUUCAGGUACUCGUCGGAGCUGCAGCGCCAUCGCCGGGUUCACACCGGGGAGAAGCCUUUCAAAUGCGCCAGCUGUGACAAGAGCUUCAAGCAACGCGAGCACCUGGCCAAGCAUCAGAGCGUGCACUCCCGGGAGACGCAGUUCAAGUGUGUGUGGUGCGGAGAGCGUUUUGUUGACCUUACAGCUCUGCAGGAGCACACUGUCCAGCACACUGCUGAAGGUGAGAGCUUCCCAGAAGCUCCCUGCAUACCAUGAACAGCUGCACUUCAAUCUCAGGCAGUAGACGUGACAUUUACUCUCUAAGCAACGUGUGCCAGCCUGCGCUCUCCCAUUUGUAGUUUAUACCAUGCACCUAUUACUUAGAAUGGUUUUUAGUAUAUGUAAGACUCAAUUUAUCCUUAUUCUUCAACGAAUUAAAGACAAAAUACCCAAAAUCAACUGAGGGGAUUAAGACACAUUUUCUUUGGAACACGGGAAAAAGACUACAAGAGAGGGGAAAUAUUGUUCAGACAGAUUAUGAUUUUGUUUAGUCCUGCGUGUGGGACCUUAUUUGUGCAUGUGAUUGUCCGUUUUGUAACUGUUUAGUCUGUUGUUGAAAGAUGGCGAGAACUUCCAGACAGUCGUCGGGAUUCCAGUCUCCUGCUGGUGUAGACCAGAUGUUCACAAGAUUAAUCAGAGUAGCCUCAGAUUUGCAGUUCAUGUGUUGGUUUAUGAUGGGAUAACGUUAAAAAUGUGUGUAUUUUAGUUUACUGUGUGGUUUUCUAUAUUAUGUACAAUCUUUGCAGUAUAUUUAAAAGAAGGUUUUUGGGGUUUAUAAAUCACAGUCAAAGAUAAUAAUAGUGGGCGCUGGCUGGGGAUUGUGUGCCAUGAUUUAUGUCUUGGUGCGUCUGCUUCAAAACCUCUUGUGAGAGAUGGACAAGUGUAAUGAAGUGUUUGACUUACACAUAUGGAUAUCAUUAUAGACUCCUGUUCAUAAUGUAUACAGUUAAAAUAAACCACCCUUAUGAAAACAAUGGUGUACAAUUGGUUUUAUCUGAGCUAAUAAUGCUAGUAGCAUAGAGUAGAAAUUAGGCAUUGCCUAGCAAGGUAAUUUUGCAAGGUCAUUUCCUUGUGUAUCUUAGUCCAAUUGCAUUGCAUUUCUAAGGAAAGGAAAAAAAAUAUAUAUAUAAAGCAGGAGAUCAGAGUUUUGAUUGUAACGUGACACACACAACUAGUAGUUCAAAGUUAAUUUUGUGUCAAGUGAUUUUUCACUUCUAAUUUAGGUAUAUUUGCUGAUAAAAAAAUCGAAUUCUUGUAUAUGGCUUAAAAUUGUAAAGGAUAAUGUGUAUAGCAAAUAUUUGGAGCUGACAAUAUGAGUGAAUAUGAAUAUAAGUCUCUAAAAGUAAAAGUUUCUUAGUGCUUGUUGUAACACUAGUUUCACAGCUAACUUCCUUUUAUCAUUUCUGGUUUUGUGAUUCUUUUGAUUAAUGGUUGGUUCAGCUAACACUUGCCACAUAUGAUGACUGAUGAUUAUCUCUCAUCAAAAAUCUGCUCCAAGAUUGUGAUCUGUUAAAAGAUGUGUUUACAUUGUUUCAUACCCAUCAGAUAUUUAUAUUUAACUAUGUUGUUCUUGUUAUUAUUCACGUGACGUUGUAUGCAAGAAUCUAAGUACCGACAUAUUUUGUUGAAGUUAAUACAAACUCUAGCAAAGAAACAUUAAAAAUAACAUUUUUCUCAUUUA